AAAGGGUGAGGAGAGGGAGAGAACCAAUCAGAGGGCCGGGAUAGUCCCACUGGGAUGUAGCGGUGACGGUCUCGACCUUUCGAGACUGUCUCGCGGAGACCAAGUUGGAUUUGUUGACAUUUGGCUUCCCAUAAGGGCACUGUUUUUUACGACACACACGAUUGUCUGAAGAUUGAUUUUCACUAGACGUCAUUUGAAUGGUACAGUACAGUAUAUUUGCUAAUUUGUAUGUUAUUUCUUUCAGUUUUUAUUUGCUGUCAGAAGAUGUUUUCAUAUUUUUAGGUGCAGUUCCUAUCCGCAGCCCUGCAGUGUGCAUGCCAACCAAAUGUCAUUGGAAAGAUUGUAAAAACAUGUUUAAGCAGGAAAAACUAAAUUUGGAGGACUAUACAUUUGUUUCUCGUUACUCGUUUGGCAAAUUGGUAAAAUGAAACGAUAUGAUAUAUUACUUCAGAUGUAUUAUUUUCAUAAGGGAAGAUUGAUCCAACAAUCUUCAACUUCAGGCAGACACACAUCAAGAAAGGAUGGGUGAUAGAUGUUCUGAAAAGUCAAUUAUAAGAUUUAUAUUUUAGUUUAUUGAUUGCAGAGUCGGAGAAUAAUUCGUGGAAUCUGAUAUUUAAGCCCUUGAAACCCCAGCUGCUCUUCUGCUUCUACUAUGCUAUUGAGCAAUUAUAAUUUCAGGAGGUACCAGUGGGGCAUCCCAGUUUACGCAGCGGAUGCCCCACUAUACGACCCAGCAAUCUUUACUUGCGGUCUUCCACUGCCGGGAAUUUGUUAUGCAUGCAUGAGUUCACUUCGCAUAUGGCUUCUUCGUGCGCUGAUGCCUUAAAGACAACAACAUAACGAUUCCGAAAUGGUUCUUUAGUUGAGCCUACACGGUCGUGUAGUAGAACCUCUUAAAGUUUUCCCAACAAACGCCCAUAAAGAUGAAGUGAGAUCCUUAGUUUGCGAGCUGGGUCUGCUCGCAGAAUUACUGGAAUGUCAUUUGUUCCUGGUCUUGGUUUGUCAAUUUGUAUAAAAGCUUUUUCUCCUGGAAGAACCGUUCAGUCGCAACCAGUUGUCGCCACGCUCCUGCCUAUUCGCGCUGUCGGUGUUAAGGGAGAUUGCCGUAGUUAUAGCUAUUGCGUAGCACUGAGCUCUGAUCAUACACAACCAAACUGGAAUGAUCUAGCUACCUACGCCCGAUUAAUACCGCGUGUGUGCCAUAAUGUCGACCGUGUUUGCUACAUAUUCGGAAAGGCGGUACGUGAAUCGGUGACAAACGUUACACCUACCAAACCUACCACCUAACAAACUAAAGUAAGUUAGAAUAACAAUAAAUUAUGUGGUACAGCUGAACUAGGAAGAAGCUGCAGUGUAUUUAAUUUGGUUACCGGUAGGAGUAGCAAUUACUUAUUUUUGUUUAAACAAUUACCUUUCUUGGUUUCCGAAAGCUAUUGCACUUUUUUCUUAGGCAAUAGCAGUUGAAAUAAGCUGUCAAAAAGUGAAAAAAAAAAAAAAAAAAAAAACUGUAUUAACCAAUGGCAAAGGCGGAACAUACUUUUCUUCUGCUAGGACUUAGGAACGCGAUUUUCCUUAGAUUUAUCCGCGCAAUCUGGCUUUCUCUCUGGGAAUUCCCAGAGACAGCAAGGAACCCGGAAAACGCCUCUGAACUAGUUGAUGAAAAGUCGCGAUUUUGGUCAAAUCCGACUUUUCGCUAAAAACACGUCAAUCCAACCCCAAAUUUGAUAAGGAUCACGAAAAUCCUAUUCGUUUUGUUAUGGGACCUCUAUUUCCGAAAACACUGGCUAAUUCCGGGAAAUUUUCGCGACAAUUUGAAAAAGUAGAAAAUGAGCUGUAUUAUUCUAACAAUUUCAAAUGUUUUUCUUGCAUGUGUUAAGGUGUCGUAGCUUUUAUUCCGUGUUUUUUUUUGCUAUCAACAGUACAGGCUGACCCUACGAGCAACGACAGUUUUAGCUACAAUGUUUAGCUUCUCGUCUUGCAACUAAUAGUUGAUAUUCUAGGUUUUUAUAUUUAAAACUGGAAUCAACUAUGUUUGGCUAGUAAAGUUCAAGCACUUAAAAGUUAAAAGCAAGAAUUAUACUGAUUUAAAAGUAAAAUCUAUUUUCGUUGGGUUUCAGGAAGAAAAACUAGAUGGCGUUUACGUGUACUUUGAUAAAGGGUCACACCUAUUUCCCCCCGGCUGCCGGGGGGAGCAAAAGUCAAAAUUGUCUAUUGACCACCGGCUGACAGUGACAUGGUGUAAUCCCACGGAGCUUACAGGAUGCCUAGGCGUGCUGGAUACGAUACAACUGGUCUUGCCUUCUUGAUUGACGUUGGCAGACGUCGAGUCAAAGAAAAACGACAUUUAGUUCCAUCCCGGACAAAACAAAGGUGUAUUUCUACAUUACAUAGAAGAGCAGGGCAAAUCAUAGACAGUAACUCUACCACAGUGCCACCUGGUUGCCGGGGGGAAAUAGCAAAUUUUGACAUUUGUGCCCCCCGGCUGCCGGGGGGGAAAUAGAUUUUACCUUGAUAAAGCAUGGCCUACUAAAUGGUUAAGGCCAGUAAACUUCAAUCUUCCCUAUGAAGGCGAGAGGAUUUGCUAAUAAAGCCAAUCAGAAUCCUUUCUGAUCACGUGCCGAUUAGGGCCAAUCAGGAGAGGGAGGAUACGACGACGCCAUCUAGCGCUCGAUAGUGUGACUCCUUAAAUAAUAACAAUUUACAGAGGACAGGGAAUUUGACAGACAGAAAUGGCCGACGUCUGCGGUGUUACAAUAAAACAAACAAAAUCCUAAAACAUUAUUUUCAGCUACAAAAUAAAUUGUACGCGGAUAGAGAUGCUGCAUUUUCAAAAAAAGCUACCUUUACAUCACCGUUGGUCGCUGAUUUGUCCCGAAGAUGAAAUUUUAAAAUUUUAAUAAAUUGAAGUGCAUAUCUGGGCUCCCUUCUUUUCUGUGGCCCUGUUUCCCCUUGACUCGUAAUAAGCCCGUAUGGGGUCAUGCCCCUACUGUGAUCAGCAGUUAAAGGUGGUGAGUGCGCUGUCCGGAAAGGGGACGUGGGGGUCCUCAAGUUCUGGGAUAUCAUUGGAAGGCUAACUAUUAAUCUAUUUUCAAUUAAUCACACAUUAACUUAAAUUCAAGGACUACAAAUACAACUAGCUGCAGUUAACCACGGCAGUGCCGCAAUUGGUUCCCACAAGUUGGACAACUAUUAUAUAACUACAAAAGCCAAAUGAAGAGUUUUUGCAACGAAAAGACAUCUAGGGGAGAAAUGACUAACCCAAAUCAUUUGGCCGGCCAUUAUGUUAGUUAUUCUAUCAGCUGUUCUAUUUCGCGUGGCGUCGCGUUGAGGAAGGUAGCUCUAAAUAACGUGGUCCCCACUGAAAUUUCAAAGCCGAUUUGUGUCUUGACCUGGAUUUUGUGGAUGAAAUCCAUGCUAAGUUGUUAAAGGAGGAGCAUGACUUGGCUUUACCAGCACGUUUUUCUUCUCCGUUAGUGAAGUACACCAAUGCUUGUACCGAAGCUGGAUUUUGUGGAUGAAAUCCAUGCUAAGUUGUUAAAGGAGGAGCAUGACUUGGCUUUACCAGCACGUUUUUCUUCUCCGUUAGUGAAGUACGCCAAUGCUUGUACCGAAGCUGAUACAUGAAAAGAGCAGUUCUUUAUAAUCUUUUUCACAAGCAAGAUCUCUUAGAUUUUAUCAGAUCUUUGGUGUUACCUGAUAUGCUCUGGUGGUUGCAGGAUCAUUCUGUGGCAGAGAGGAGUGUUGCUGAUGUUCUGUUAUCAGUGUAAAUAAAAGAUUUCCAGUGUCA